GCGGGAUUAGCUCAGUUGGAAGAGCGCGAGAUUUACAUUCUUGAUGUCAGCGGUUCGAGCCCGUUAUCCCGUACCA
rnacentral:tRNA from 1 species